CUGCACUUACUCAUAAGCUGAUGGGAGGUAGAGUGAAGAUCUCCUAUUUCCCAGGCAUCUGCGAGGGAAGAGGGAGACCUUCCUGAAAGCCUGUGCAGUGGAGGCCCAAAGGCUCAUCAGCUGAGACCACUCCCCAGACAAUGAGACUUGAGAAAGCAUUGCAACUGCUUAGGGCAUUGUCAUAAGGGAGGCCCUAGAAAACUACUUCCAGUGGUACAGAAAGGAAAGAGGACACCAUAGUAUAAAGACCAAAAAAUGCAAAGAAAAAACAGUUCACUUGAUUGUAAUCCCAAAUAACUUUUAUUAAACAUGUUUAA